CGUCCCUUGCUUAUAAAUAAUUAUAGUAUAAGGGAUACUGCCUGCCCAGUGACUUUGGGUUAAACGGCCGCGGUACUUUGACUGUGCAAAGGUAGCAUAAUCACUUGCCUCUUAAAUAGAGGCUGGAAUGAAUGGCAAGACGGGAAUUUAACUGUCUCUUUCUUAGUAAAGUUGAAUUUAAUAUCUUUGUGAAGAAGCUAAGAUAAUAUCGUAGGACGAGAAGACCCUGUCGAGCUUAAAUUGAAGCUAGAAGUAUAUAAGGAUCAUUUUUUUUAUCUAAUUGUAAUUUUAAUAGAAAUAGGUGGAGGGUUAAUAAAGGAAAUGAGAUAUAUUGUGUAGUUUUGUUUUGGUUGGGGCAAUCGCGAAGAAUAAAUAACCUUCGUUAGAUAUAUAUAAAGAGAUUUUUUUUGUACAAGAGUAAUUUGAAUUUUAGAGUGAGCCACUAAUGGAGUGAACAAAGGAACAAGUUACCGCAGGGAUAACAGCGUAAUUUUUUUGGAGAGUUCAUAUUGAUAAAAGAGUUUGCGACCUCGAUGUUGGAUCGGGAUUUCCUGGAGAUGCAGCAGUUUCCAAGGGUUGGUCUGUUCGACCAUUAAAAUCCU
rnacentral:rRNA from 1 species